rnacentral:lncRNA from 1 species
UUCUCCCCCUAGGCCACAUUGCCAGUCCUGGUUUUUGAGUCUCAGUCUUUCAAUUGAAGAUUAUCCCUGGCAGUCGGCUCCCCAGGGCCACUCCUUGUCCUAGAACUUGUAUUCCUUCCUAAACAGCAGAGCUGAGGGGUGAGGCCCCUGAGUCACACAGAUGCACUGAGCCUGACUCAGAAGGCGAGGCUCUGGCCCCCAUUCAUGGUGCUUCUCUGCCAUGCUCCAGGCCUCAGAGCUCGAGCUUUGCUGCUUAUGCCCCGCCACACACACCAAAGUGAAGGGGUGGAGCAGUGUCUUUCAUUUCCUCUCUACGGAUCACAAGCUUUGUGCUUGCCACGGAAUGUAUUACAUGUUAAGGACGUGUUUAUAACAGGACUGGAUGGAUGGGUAGCAGGUGGCUGUCCUGUGUUCUUAGGAAGAAAUGAUCAUUCAAGGGUAACCAUUAAUCACUGUAAAACUUUUAAUGUUUGUUCCCGGCCAUGUCCUCCCCAGGAUUAUCACAGGGGUGUCCUCUACUUACACAGUCCUCCUGUCCCUGACAUCUUGUAUUCUGAAGAUUGAGUCUGGCUUUUUCUUCAUUUCACAAAAUCAACUCCUAAAAUUUGAAGGCAAAUGUCCCUGUGUGCUGAGCCGGCAUCACAAAUACAGAGGAAUUCUCCUAAGUGACUUCACCACACGGUAAUUUCAUAUCCCUAAUGAGGUUUUCCCUAAGAACACUACACUAACAGAGUAUCAGGCUGUUUCCAAUAACAUGCAUUGAAAAAAAAAUGCAGAGAACAACUUACGGUGCUGUCCUCAAGAAUUAAGAUUUAGGAAAGAAGGGAAGCCAUUUAGAUCCAAAAAUAUCUCUAUAACUGUGGGUGUGUGUGUGGGGGGGUGUUAAGGGGGCUCUCUGUGACCCCCAUGGCCAGCAGAGUGAUGAGCCAGGCCCCACAGGAGACAAGAAGCCAGUUGGGCUCAACACAGCAGCUGGUGUUGGUUCAAACUUCAAGAGCCUGACCCCUGAGUGUUUUAUUUUAGGCAUAUUUAAACAUGGCACAACUUGGAGAAAAGUAUUCUGACAAUAAUUAACUCAGUCCCAUGUGUACAAUCAAGCACACAGAGAUCUCCUAGGGAGACAAAUUAAUAUAAAUACAGCUCAGAUGUGACUAUGUCAAAACUCUUUUUUAAAGUCCACAAAGAUAGGUUCUGUAGACUGACUGAACACAAAACUUACGAUAAGGGCCUGGGGGAAUCCAGUACUGGAAGACUCCAGCUACAUAGAUACCACGAAAGUCAUCAGGUUAUAAGGCACGUCUGCUCCAGCCUUCUGGGCAGAUAGCACGUCUUCCAUUCCUUCCCUUGAAGGAGCAGCCCUGUGUGCUUAACACUUCAUGUUCCUCUAGUGCACGUCUGUGGGCACAAAGAUCUCUGUCUGUCUGUGCCCCCGAUCUAAGUAAAACCUCAGAUUUACACAUUUUAAUGGGUCUGAACUUAGUUUUUGAGACAGGGUUUCUCUGUGUAGCCUUGGCAGUCCUAGAACUCACUCUGUACACCAGGCUGCCUUCAGACUCAGAGAUCC